AAGUCGUAACAAGGUUUCCGUAGGUGAACCUGCGGAAGGAUCAUUAAUGAAAUGCAAGGACGCUCUUUUUAGAGGUCCGACCCAAAUCAUUUUCCUUUACACUGUGCACAUACUACUUUUUUCUACACCAUUUUUUAAACGCAAUAGUCUAAGAAUGUCAUAUCAGUCUCGAAAGAGCAAUAAAAGUAAUAAAACUUUCAGCAACGGAUCUCUUGGCUCUC
rnacentral:misc_RNA from 2 species